rnacentral:snoRNA from 1 species
GCCCACAGUUCAAAGAAUCACUUUAGAGUAGACGUCCCACCUCUGAGCUCUUCUAAAGAGCCACAGAAUCCUCACCCUUGCUGAUGACUUCUAUGUCCUCGAUGCCCUAAAGUGAAGCCGUUUUUACUUCCGACUCGACCUUGCUUGUCGCCGCGCUCUGUUACGACUUGUCUUCGGACGGGCUUGUUCCGGGCGAUUGGUCUUGCUUUUGGUCCAGGGAGUGGUGAUGAUCUUUACCUUGUCGUGACGUCUUGACUUCGGUCGGUCUGACUUGGUGGGCGUCGAGGAGGUCUGAAAGGU